UCAACAGAGACGGGCGGGGGCAUUCGUACCGAGACGUUAGAGGUGAAAUUCUUGGAUCGUCUCGAGACGAACUGACGCGAAAGCAUUUGCCAAGUACGUUCUCGUAUGAUCAAGAACGAAAGUUAGAGGUUCGAAGGCGAUCAGAUACCGCCCUAGUUCUAACUGUAAACGAUGCCAGCUAGCGAUCCGCCGGCGUUUCAUUAACGACCCGGCGGGCAGCUUCCGGGAAACCGAAGCUUUUCGGUUCCGGGGGAAGUAUGAUUGCAAAGUUGAAACUUAAAGGAAUUGACGGAAGGGCACCACCAGGAGUGGAGCCUGCGGCUUAAUUUGACUCAACACGGGAAACCUCACCAGGCCCGGACACCGGAAAGAUUGACAGAUUGAGAGCUCUUUCUUGAUUCGGUGGGUGGUGGUGCAUGGCCGUUCUUAGUUGGUGGAGCGAUCUGUCUGGUUAAUUCCGACAACGAACGAG
rnacentral:rRNA from 1 species